GGGCCACAUAAGACUUUGUCCAUCCAGGGUUACAUUGAACGACAACUUUAAACUAAAGAACCCCCUGAAUGAUGUAGGCUAUGGGGCCACAUAAGACUUUGUGCAUCCAGGGUUACAUAGCAGGACAACUUUAAACUAAAAAGCUACCAGACUGGGAUUUUAGUGUACUCCAGGAUCUAACAAAGUGUGCAAUGCAUGUGUAUACGUAUAGUGACAGUGUUUAGUGUAUACCCUAAGGAUUAAGUGUAGUGUACAUUGUGCUUUU